ensembl:lncRNA
AGGCUACAUAAGAUUUAGAUGCGGGAGGGAGGCAGCGUCGCUUUCUUGGAGAACGGGGUGCUGGAGCUCAACGUGUGAUGGGAGACAGGAGACCCGACGUUUUGCACGGAGUUUGUGCGGUGGGAGGAGGAAGAGAUGCCUCGGGAACCUCUCUGUCCCGACGAUCGGGUCUCACCAGGGGCCUGAUCCACGCAAUCCAUCCCAAAGCGGAGGCUUGGUGUGUGUGUGGAGAGGCAAAGGAUCUGGAAGUGGCCUCUCGACCUCCAGGUUUCAAUUGCAGGAUCCUUUCAAAAACAAAAUUCUGCUCCUUCGCAUCGGCGCCUGUCUCUCUUACCGGAGUUCCCGAAUUCUGGAAAAUUUAAGAUCACAAAAGUACCCCUUGUGGUGUAGUCGUGGGCGGAGUGACAUGAGAGAGCAUGACUUUGGAGAACAGAGUUCAGAUCCCUGCUCAGCCCUGGAAGUUCACUGGGGGAGUGGAGCUGAUAAAAACCGCUCCUUAAAGAUCUCACUUAACCCUGAAAGCCCAGUUAGGAUUGCCAUAAGUCAGUUUUGACUUGAUGGUGCACAACAACAACAAAGCAAAGCAAAAAAUGUGCUGCUUAUAUACCACCCCAUAGUGCUUCAAGCACUCUCUGGGCGGUUUACAAUUUAAUUAUGCAGGCUACACAACAACAAGAUCACAUAAAAAGCUGAAGUUCAGAGAUUCUUUCUGAAUACAUUUUUUAAAAUCAGUUCAGCAUCUGGUGUCUUUUUGAGGAAAAGGCUGCAUUUUCAGUCCGUUGGCCUGAACACUUCUUUAUUACUACACUGGGAUUUGAACUGCUCACCCAUCUAAUCUCUUGGAAAUAAAAGUUGCCAAGGUUGUUCAAGUCAACCUAAAUGUCCCAUGCAAUCCUGCUGCGCCAUGUGGAUGCAUGCUCUUUCAAGCAAAGCCUGGUCUGGAGAACAUAAUUAUUCUACCAGGAAAAUCAUUCCAUAUUUAUUCAAGAGAGCACUAGGCACCACUGGAGCCGGUGCAGAAAUGUCUGAGAGGCCCUUUGUCACUCAUCCAGGAGGCAUGACAACACAAGCAGGCUUUGAAUUCUCUCCUCUUGGCGAUCGUCUGGAAAGAAUGGCAGUCCAGUUUCAUCAGGUAAGGAAGGUAUCUUUGCGGGGCGGGGGGGAAGAUGCAGGGAGAUAGCUUGGCCGCUGGUCUCCAUCUCAGCAAAUUUAUAGCAUUUAUACUUUCAUUUCUGCAGGGUGAGAAGUGAGAGUAUGAGGAAAUGUCUAGAAUUUCACACCCUAAAGGGUGUCGGGGACAUGGCUCCUCAGCCAUUGCUUUUUUCGUUCAUGCUGCGAUGUAGCGUGUACAUCCCCGUAUACGGGGAGUCUGUUUCUGAGCAAAUCCCUGUGUUUCAUUCUGCAGCGGGUGUCCUUCAAGGAGGUGGCAGUGUACUUCACCAAGAGGGAAUGGGACCUCCUGACUCCAGCCCAGAAAUCUCUCUAUAAGGAAGUCAUGCUGGAAAAUUACAGGAUCGUAGCCUCUCUGGGUAAGGAGGACGUUUUUCCCCAGAUUGAUUCAUGCCAAAGAGUUGCUUUUGUUUUUCUGGAUCAUUUCCCUUUGCAAGCAUUGGGGCCCCGUGAGAACAACCCAUCGCUAAGGGCUCUUGGCUUCUGUUAGAUGCCAGAGGGCUCUGUCACUGGCGUGGCUGAUGGUCCUGUUGAAACCUUAGUUGGUGGGUGGAACCAUGGAACGAACGAUGCGGUUGACACUGUCUCUCCCGAGUGACCUCUCUUGCUGGGUAGCUGAUUCCCCCCUAGUGGAGUAGAAGGCAUGAAACAAAUGGGAGGUGGGUGUUAUAGGAAAGAAAACAGUGCAUCCAAUUAAACAAUAGCGACAUUUCCCUUUUUCCUUUGGGCCUAGUGAGAGAGUGCCAGGUAGUGCCUGGGUGGGCAUGGUUGGAAGGGCAGGUUGAAGCCAUCCAAGACUGCAGGAGAAAAGAAGUGUUCUCAACCAGGUCAGUCCAGAUGAUUACAAGGUUGAAGCUGGUAGGGUGCAACCUGACAACAGAAAGAUAAAACGGAUACAGUAGGACCCCCCCCCCGAUCAGCAGGGGAUCCGUUCCAAGUAGAGAUGGGCACGAACCUCAGUUCGUAGGCUCAUGCCGGUUCGUAUGCAGGGCACCGCAGGUGUCACACAU